rnacentral:rRNA from 1 species
UACGGGAGGCAGCAGUGGGGAAUAUUGCACAAUGGGCGCAAGCCUGAUGCAGCCAUGCCGCGUGUAUGAAGAAGGCCUUCGGGUUGUAAAGUACUUUCAGUCGUGAGGAAGGUGUUAAGGUUAAUAACCUUAGCAAUUGACGUUAGCGACAGAAGAAGCGCCGGCUAACUCCGUGCCAGCAGCCGCGGUAAUACGGAGGGUGCGAGCGUUAAUCGGAAUUACUGGGCGUAAAGGGCACGCAGGCGGUUAAUUAAGUUGGAUGUGAAAUCCCCGGGCUUAACCUGGGAAUGGCAUUCAAGACUGGUUAGCUAGAGUCUUGUAGAGGGGGUAGAAUUCCAUGUGUAGCGGUGAAAUGCGUAGAGAUGUGGAGGAAUACCGGUGGCGAAGGCGGCCCCUGGGACAAGACUGACGCUCAUGUGCGAAAGCGUGGGGAGCAAACAGGGAUUAGAUACC